CACAACCACAUGAGACUGUGUUUUCACUUCUAACAGUUCCUCUAUUGGUCUUGUAGGCAUAACAGAUAUGUCUAAGCAUCAGUCAUCAAUUCUGCCACCACUCGUAAAAGGUGCAACACCAAUACAUUCACUCAGAGACAGCUGGGAGUCACUUUUCUGGUUUCUGGUGUAUGCCCUCCCCCGUGCAAGCAAGGAUACAGACAGGUCUUCUAAAGAUGGCUGGGAAUCAGACAGCCUGUGUUUCUGCUAAGGAAUGACUUCCUGACUACCCUUGCACAAAUCUCACCCACCUCACAUCCCAUUUUGGAGCUUCAGAAUGAAAAUGCUACUUUUGUCUUCCUGCCAUCUUAGUUGGAAUGCAAAUCUG
rnacentral:lncRNA from 1 species